rnacentral:rRNA from 1 species
GACGAACGCUGGCGGCGUGCCUAAUACAUGCAAGUCGAGCGGAUUGAUGGGAGCUUGCUCCCUGAUAUCAGCGGCGGACGGGUGAGUAACACGUGGGCAACCUGCCUAUAAGACUGGGAUAACUUCGGGAAACCGGAGCUAAUACCGGAUAAUCCCUUUCCUCUCAUGAGGAAAGGCUGAAAGAUGGUUUACGCUAUCACUUAUAGAUGGGCCCGCGGCGCAUUAGCUAGUUGGUGAGGUAACGGCUCACCAAGGCAACGAUGCGUAGCCGACCUGAGAGGGUGAUGGGCCACACUGGGACUGAGACACGGCCCAGACUCCUACGGGAGGCAGCAGUAGGGAAUCUUCCGCAAUGGACGAAAGUCUGACGGAGCAACGCCGCGUGAGUGAUGAAGGUUUUCGGAUCGUAAAACUCUGUUGUUAGGGAAGAACAAGUACGAGAGUAACUGCCCGUACCUUGACGGUACCUAACCAGAAAGCCACGGCUAACUACGUGCCAGCAGCCGCCGUAA